rnacentral:rRNA from 1 species
GAUGAACGCUGGCGGCGUGCCUAACACAUGCAAGUCGAGCGAUUCUCGUCGGAUAAGAGCUGCGGACGGGGGAGUAACGCGGGGGUAACCUUCCCUGUACACACGGAUGACAUGGCGAAAGUUAGGCUAAUACGAGAUAAUAUGCUUUUAUCGCGUGGGAGAAGGAUCAAAGCUUUUGCGGUACAGGAUGUACGGUCGUCCUAUUAGCUAGUUGGUAAGGUAACGGCUUACCAAGGCGAGAAUCAGUAGACUACCUGAGAGGUUGAUCGGCGACAUUGGAACUGAGACGCGGUCCAAAAUAUUACGGGAGGGACGAGUGCCGAAUCCUGCAAAAUCGCGGAAAGGCUGAUGCACCAAGGAUGGGUAAGCGAUGAAGGUCUGGGGGUCGUAAAGUUCUGUACUACAGGAAUAUAAUGACGUUACUUGCGGAGGAAGCACCGGCUAACUACGUG